UUAUUAAAAAAAAAAAAUUAAAAUAUAAAAAAGAAAAAAAGAAAAAAGAAAUUCUACUUCCAAUUCCUCCUCCUUCUCCUUCACAAGACAGCCCAGCGAGGAAAAUCUGACGUGCUAGGGUUUCUGAACCACUCCAAGCUCGUUCAGGGACGGAAUCCAUGCCCAGAAGCCACUCCGUACGACUCUCUUAGCCCUCUACCUUCCCAAAGGUUUGAUUCUGAACGGGCUUGGUUGAUAUUUUUGAGAAGCGCAUAUUUUUAUAGUUGAGUCUUUGAGUAAAAGAAAAUCAUGUCUGGAAGAAAUCGUGGACCACCUCAUGCUGGAUUGCCCCCUCCGGUUCAUGAAUCUCCAUAUGGAAGAGGACUUGGGCCGAUACCCCAUCCAGCAUUAGUCGAGGAAAUGCGAGAAUCUCAGCUUGGCAUGGGUCCCAGACAACGUCCUCCCCACCCUGCAAUAAUAGAGGAGCAUCUUGCGGCUCAACAUCAAGAUAUACAAGGACUUCUAGGUGAUAACCAAAGGCUGGCUGCAACCCAUGUCGCACUUAAGCAGGAAUUGGAGGCUGCCCAAUUUGAGUUGCAGCGAAUGGCUUACCAUGUUGAUUCACUGCGGGCAGACAAGGAUGUUCAAAUGAGAGAUUUGUAUGACAAGUCUGUUCGUUUGGAAGUGGACCUUCGUGGAGUUGAGGCCAUGCGGAAUGAACUUCUUCAGGUUCGUACUGAUAUCAAGGAGCUCACUGCUGCGAGGCAGGACCUCUCGGCUCAGGCACAAGCGAUGACACAAGAUUUGGCUAGAAUGACUGCUGAUUUGCAACAAGCACCAGCUUUGAGAGCAGAAAUUGAAGCAAUGAAACAGGAAUUGCAACGUGCUAGAGCUGCCAUUGAGUAUGAAAAGAAAGGAUAUGCAGAGAAUUAUGAGCAUGGUCAGAUCAUGGAGAAGAAUUUGACAUCGAUGGCUAGGGAGCUGGAGAAACUUCGUGCAGAAAUUGCUAAUACUGAGAAGAGAGCACGAGCUGCAGCUGCUGUUGGAAAUCCAGCUGUAGGUUAUAAUGCAAAUUAUGGCAAUCUUGAAGCAGGAUAUGCAGGAAAUCCCUAUCCUGCCAACUAUGGCAUGAAUCCUGUACAUAGUGGUGCUGAAAAUUUUCCUCAGUAUGCUCCUAUGCCCGGUUCGUCAGGUGCUUAUGACAUGCAGCGAGCUCAGGGACACAGAUAAGCUAGUUCAUCCAUGAUGCUGAGCCCCCAUUCUGACUGGUUCACAGCCUUUUGACCCUGCAAAUCUGCUGCCUUCCACGUAUGUCCAAUGUUCUCUCUAGUUCUGCUCACGAUUUCAAAUCUGCUCAUGAGGUGGUGAUUUCUGUAUUGCGGCACAAGCUAAAGGCAAGAAUGGUUUGGUUCCCUGUUAUCUUAAUGCAACGAACAAACAACCAGGUGGUUCGAUGUUAUGAUCGAAUGUUGGCCGACCAUAAAUGGUAUCCUCCUACGUACUACGUACUACUUUAAUCAGAAGCCACCAGGCAAGAUGUGAGAGUUGGCAUAAUUGGAAACAAAAAUGAUUUUUGCUCAACCGUUUGUAAGAUACUAAUGUUGUGUUUGGACGAGGGAUUGUAGUAGUACCAAGGGAUUUAGUAAGGACUGUAGAAGUGCACUGCAAAGCAUUUGAUUGAUGCAUUUGAAAUGACUGCUAACAAGGAGCCAUUUGAGGGUAGUCUUUCGGUCUCUAGGAUUGGAUUGGAAGGAUAACUUUAUAUUUUUCAGGGUAAAUUGAGGGUAGUCUUUUGCUGGGUAUUAUAAAUCUCCUGGGUUUGUUUUGAUAUAUUUACAAAGUUCCCUUUUCCCUGCA